UACGUAGGUGGCAAGCGUUGUCCGGAAUUAUUGGGCGUAAAGCGCGCGCAGGCGGUUCCUUAAGUCUGAUGUGAAAGCCCCCGGCUCAACCGGGGAGGGUCAUUGGAAACUGGGGAACUUGAGUGCAGGAGAGGAAAGCGGAAUUCCACGUGUAGCGGUGAAAUGCGUAGAUAUGUGGAGGAACACCAGUGGCGAAGGCGGUUUCUGGUCUGUAACUGACGCUGAGGCGCGGAAGCGUGGGGAGCAAACAGG
rnacentral:rRNA from 1 species